UUUAGAUUCUUCACUGUGGGAGACUACGGCUUUUGAAGAGUCAGCCAACCAGCUUGAGAGUGAAUAUAAUCACCCAUUUUCUAAAAUGAAAGAGGAGACUUGGGACCAGCCUCCGCUGUGUGGUACCGAGCAAGAGCAGCUGCAGACAUGCAGAGCUGGUUUUCAACUCAGGCGAGGCAGUGUAUCAGCUGUGUAACCCUAGCAAUUCCUUCAACCCCUCUGCAGCUGUCUCUCCCCCUGCAAAAUGUAACAAUUGCUGCUGUGCCCCCUUACGGGAUGCUGAAAAAAGUUAAGUAAGAUCAAAUGAGUUUGUAUCUGGAAAACAUCAUGAUGGGAGGUUGAACUUGGUGGUAUAAGGGUAGAAAAUUGUGAUAUCUUUCCUUCCCAUAGAAGGCGGACAGCUAACACUCUUAAAGCACAAGACAGGUUAACAAAAGAAAAGCAUAACAAAUCUAUUUAAUCAAAGUUGUGUGUGACACAAGAGCCUUCAGAAGUGAAGGUCUAAAGAUCCAGGGGAAACUGUUUUUAUGUUUAGGUUGGAUAAAGAACGGAUAGCCAUGUAGAACUGUGAUUGGACAGG
rnacentral:lncRNA from 1 species